rnacentral:tRNA from 1 species
GGUUCAGUAGCUCAGUUGGUAGAGCAUCUGACUUUUAAUCAGAGGGUCAGAGGUUCGAAUCCUCUAUGGCUCACCA